CAAUAGCGUAUAUUAAAGUUGUUGCAGUUAAAAAGCUCGUAGUUGGAUUUCUGAUCGAGACAUCAGGUCGGGUCCGAGAGGAUCAUGUACUUUGAUUUUGUUUUGAUCAUCCUUGGGGAGAGCAUUUCUGGCAUUCAGUUGUCGGGAUUGGGAUCCUCAUCGUUUACUGUGAAAAAAUUAGAGUGUUCAAAGCAGGCCUCGGCCUCUGAAUACAUUAGCAUGGAAUAAUAAGAUAGGACUUUGGUGGUCUAUUUUGUUGGUUUGCACGCCAAAGUAAUGAUUAAUAGGGAUAGUUGGGGGUACUCGUAUUCAAUUGUCAGAGGUGAAAUUCUUGGAUUUAUGGAAGACGAACUACUGCGAAAGCAUUUACCAAGGAUGUUUUCAUUAA
rnacentral:rRNA from 1 species